CCCUUAGAUGUUCUGGGCCGCACGCGCGCUACACUGAUGCAUUCAACGAGUUUCUUCCUGGUCCGAGAGGAAUGGGUAACCUUUUGAAAGUGCAUCGUGAUGGGGAUAGACUAUUGCAAUUAUUGGUCUUCAACGAGGAAUUCCUAGUAGACGUAGUUCAUCAGACUGCAUCGAUUACGUCCCUGCCCUUUGUACACACCGCCCGUCGCUACUACCGAUUGAACGGUUUAGUGAGGGCCUCGGAUUGGUCUCGGCCCGCUCUUUACCGGGCGGCGCCGUUGGUCGAGAAGACGCUCGAACUUGAUCGUUUAGAGGAAGUAAAAGUCGUAACA
rnacentral:rRNA from 1 species